GGAUGCGAUCAUAACAGCACUAAAGCACCAUCCCAUCAGAACUCCGAAGUUAAGCGUGCUUGGGCGAGUGUAGUACUAGGAUGGGUCCUCGUGUUGCAUUCU
rnacentral:rRNA from 1 species